rfam:Myotis lucifugus cont2.36870, whole genome shotgun sequence.
AUCGCUUCUCGGCCUUUUGGCUAAGAUCAAGUGUAUACGCCUCAACAGACUGCUCCUCAAUCUUGAAAGUGGACCUGUGUCUUACUUGAGUUUGCUAAUUGGUUAUUAUUUAUUUAAGUCAAUCAUUAAAUAAAUAUUUAUUAAUCCAUCCUACUCUACUUCAUGACUGUAGUAUAUCUUAA